rnacentral:lncRNA from 1 species
AGAAGAAGGAAAACACAUUUUUGUCCACGGUGACUUUGAGAUGGAAGGUGUUCCUUUCAACUGUAUCAAAACCAGCACAAUCCCUGUUUGAAGAUGCUAGGACUAAAAGGGCCCAGAAAGUUGAGUCCAGAGGUCACAUUCACUGAAGGGACGAUUUCAUACUUUGGAUAGUCUCCUAUUAAGUCUUUGACUUAAAACUGGCUGAAAUUUGGUUUUAUCCGGUGAUCUAAGGGAUCGCAAAGAGGACAGCUCAGCCUUCAUAGAGGAUGCGCCAUUCGAGCUCUACCACACAGGAGGCACGGUGGUGGCCUCACCUCUACACAACAGUGUUCCCACCUCCUGAAAAGCCUUCCUCUUCCAUCGUAGAAUGUUUACAUUUUCUCUUUAUUGUGAAGACUUUCAUCAUCUUUUCAAUCAGAACAAAUGAAGAAAUUGUGACACACAGCGAUUAAGUAAUGCAUCUAAGGGCACACCAACUACCAGUUUUGAA